rnacentral:rRNA from 1 species
AUUUGUUUUGGCAGGAGCAUGAGAGCUUUUACUGGGCAAGAAGACAAGAGAUGGAGAGUCCAGCCGGGCCUGCGCUUAAGUGCGCGGUCUUGCUAGGCUUGUAAGUUUCUUUCUUGCUAUUCCAAACGGUGAGAGAUUUCUGUGCUUUUGUUAUAGGACAAUUAAAACCGUUUCAAUACAACACACUGUGGAGUUUUCAUAUCUUUGCAACUUUUCCUUUGGGCAUUCGAGCAAUCGGGGCCCAGAGGUAACAAACACAAACAAUUUUAUCUAUUCAUUAAAUUUUUGUCAAAAACAAGAAUUUUCGUAACUGGAAAUUUUAAAAUAUUAAAAACUUUCAACAACGGAUCUCUUGGUUCUCGCAUCGAUGAAGAACGCAGCGAAAUGCGAUACGUAAUGUGAAUUGCAGAAUUCCGUGAAUCAUCGAAUCUUUGAACGCACAUUGCGCCCCUUGGUAUUCCAGGGGGCAUGCCUGUUUGAGCGUCAUUUCCUUCUCAAACAUUCUGUUUGGUAGUGAGUGAUACUCUUUGGAGUUAACGAAAUUGCUGGCCUUUUCAUUGGAUGUUUGAUUUCCAAAGAGAGGUUUCUCUGCGUGCUUGAGGUAUAAUGCAAGUACGGUCGUUUUAGGUUUUACCAACUGCGGCUAAUCUUUUUUUAUACUGAGCGUAUUGGAACGUUAUCGAUAAGAAGAGAGCGUCUAGGCGAACAAUGUUCUUAAGGUUUGACCUCCAAUCAGGU